GAAUUGACGGGACCGCACAAGCGGUGGAUGAUGUGGUUAAUUCGACGCAACGCGAAGAACCUUACCAGGGCUUGACAUCCUCUGGUCGCUGUAGAGAUACAGCUUUCCCUUCGGGGACAGAGAGACAGGUGGUGCAUGGUUGUCGUCAGCUCGUGUCGUGAGAUGUUGGGUUAAGUCCCGCAACGAGCGCAACCCUUGUCACUAGUUGCCAUCAUUUGGUUGGGCACUCUAGUGAGACUGCCGGUGACAAACCGGAGGAAGGUGGGGAUGACGUCAAGUCCUCAUGGCCCUUAUGGGUAGGGCUUCACACGUCAUACAAUGGUCGGUACAGAGGGUUGCCAAGCCGCGAGGUGGAGCCAAUCCCUUAAAGCCGAUCGUAGUCCGGAUCGUAGUCUGCAACUCGACUACGUGAAGUCGGAAUCGCUAGUAAUCGCAGAUCAGCAUGCUGCGGUGAAUACGUUCCCGGGUCUU
rnacentral:rRNA from 1 species